CCUACGGGGUGCUGCAGUGGGGAAUAUUGGACAAUGGGCGAAAGCCUGAUCCAGCCAUGCCGCGUGUGUGAAGAAGGCCUUCGGGUUGUAAAGCACUUUCAGUGGGGAAGAAAGCCUUGGGGCUAAUACCCUCGAGGAAGGACAUCACCCACAGAGGAAGCACCGGCUAACUCCGUGCCAGCAGCCGCGGUAAUACGGAGGGUGCGAGCGUUAAUCGGAAUUACUGGGCGUAAAGCGCGCGUAGGCGGUCUGAUAAGCCGGUUGUGAAAGCCCCGGGCUCAACCUGGGAACGGCAUCCGGAACUGUCAGGCUAGAGUGCAGGAGAGGAAGGUAGAAUUCCCGGUGUAGCGGUGAAAUGCGUAGAGAUCGGGAGGAAUACCAGUGGCGAAGGCGGCCUUCUGGACUGACACUGACGCUGAGGUGCGAAAGCGUGGGUAGCAAACAGGAUUAGAUACCCCUGUAGUC
rnacentral:rRNA from 1 species